rnacentral:rRNA from 2 species
UGAGGAAUAUUGGUCAAUGGACGCAAGUCUGAACCAGCCAUGCCGCGUGCAGGAAGACGGCUCUAUGAGUUGUAAACUGCUUUUGUAUGAGGGUAAACCCAGAUACGCGUAUCUGGCUGAAAGUAUCAUACGAAUAAGGAUCGGCUAACUCCGUGCCAGCAGCCGCGGUAAUACGGAGGAUUCAAGCGUUAUCCGGAUUUAUUGGGUUUAAAGGGUGCGUAGGCGGUUGAAUAAGUCAGUGGUGAAAUACCGGGGCUCAACUCCGGAACUGCCAUUGAUACUGUUUAGCUAGAGAGUAGUUGCUGUGGGCGGAAUGUAUGGUGUAGCGGUGAAAUGCUUAGAGAUCAUACAGAACACCGAUUGCGAAGGCAGCUCACAAAACUAUAUCUGACGUUGAGGCACGAAAGCGUGGGGAGCAAACAGG